UGGGGAAUUUUGGACAAUGGGCGAAAGCCUGAUCCAGCAAUGCCGCGUGUGUGAAGAAGGCCUUCGGGUUGUAAAGCACUUUUGUCCGGAAAGAAAUCCUUGGCUCUAAUACAGUCGGGGGAUGACGGUACCGGAAGAAUAAGCACCGGCUAACUACGUGCCAGCAGCCGCGGUAAUACGUAGGGUGCAAGCGUUAAUCGGAAUUACUGGGCGUAAAGCGUGCGCAGGCGGUUUGCUAAGACCGAUGUGAAAUCCCCGGGCUCAACCUGAGAACUGCAUUGGUGACUGGCAGGCUAGAGUAUGGCAGAGGGGGGUAGAAUUCCACGUGUAGCAGUGAAAUGCGUAGAGAUGUGGAGGAAUACCGAUGGCGAAGGCAGCCCCCUGGGCCAAUACUGACGCUCAUGCACGAAAGCGUGGGGAGCAAACAGGAUUAGAUACCCUGGUAGUCCACGCCCUAAACGAUGUCAACUAGUUGUUGGGGAUUCAUUUCCUUAGUAACGUAGCUAACGCGUGAAGUUGACCGCCUGGGGAGUACGGUCGCAAGACUGAAACUCAAAGGAAUUGAC
rnacentral:rRNA from 1 species